rnacentral:rRNA from 1 species
CUACGUGCCAGCAGCCGCGGUAAUACGUAGGGGGCAAGCGUUAUCCGGAUUUACUGGGUGUAAAGGGAGCGCAGGCGGUUUUGCAAGUUGAGAGUGGAAGCAGGGGGCUCAACCCCCUGACUGCUCCCAAAACUGUAAAACUUGAGUAUGGGAGAGGCAGGCGGAAUUCCUAGUGUAGCGGUGAAAUGCUUAGAUAUUAGGAAGAACACCGGUGGCGAAGGCGGCCUGCUGGACCAAAACUGACGCUGAGGCUCGAAAGCGUGGGUAGCAAACAGGAUUAGAUACCCUGGUAGUCCACGCUGUAAACGAUGAAUACUAGGUGCUGGGAGGCAUAAGCCUUUCGGUGCCGUCGCAAACGCAUUAAGUAUUCCACCUGGGGAGUACGACCGCAAGGUUGAAACUCAAAGGAAUUGACGGGGGCCCGCACAAGCGGUGGAGCAUGUGGUUUAAUUCGAAGCAACGCGAAGAACCUUACCAGGUCUUGACAUCCCUCUGACCGCUCUAGAGAUAGAGCUUUCUUCGGGACA